GCCAGGCGUGGUGGCUCACGCCUGUAAUCCCAGCACUUUGGGAGGCCGAGAUGGGUGGAUCACCUGAGGUCAGGAGUUUGAGACCAGCCUGACCAACAUGGAGAAACCCCAUCUCUA
rfam:Homo sapiens chromosome 3, GRCh38 reference primary assembly.